rnacentral:lncRNA from 7 species
GUGCUCAUCACAUUCCCUCCCUUCUCUGGCAGAAAACCAACAUGGGAGGACAACAAUGCCUAUGCAUCCCUGCGAAUUCGACACGAUCGCUGUGAUGCCAGCAGCUGCCUUUACCCACGCGGCAGGGAGCGGGCAGAGAGAGAGGGGCCCUGGCAGCUGCUCCUCUGCAGCUCCUGUGCUGCACAAGGCACCCAUCGGCGCUGCUCCUUCUUGAGUCAGGGCACAGCCAGCUGGGAGUGCAACGCCUGUGCUGGAGAGGGCACCGGUAAGAGGCAAACAGCCGCGUGCUGCUGGGCUGGGGCCAGGCGAGGCCUUGCUCCAGUCCCUUUGGCCCACGAGGGAUGGGAGCCUGUCCCACCCUGGGGCUGGAGUCCCAUCCCGCUCACCUUCCCGUCUCCCCUUACAGCCUCCGGCAGCGGUGUGGACAGAGCUGGCCCCAGCACCGCCAGCCAGCAGGGACUGCCGCCUCUCAUAGGCCCCAUAACAUUGGAGAGCAGCAGCACCUCCAGCACCACCAGCACCACCAGCACCUCCAGCACCUCCAGCACCACCAGCACCACCAGCACCACCAGCCAGGCACCGUCGGGGCCAGCUCACGUUCCCAAGGUGCCUGAGAGCGGCGUCCCGCCUAACCAGCACAGGACAAAAUGGCGGAGAAUCUGCACACGUUUACAUCGCAUUGACGAUGAAUGGAACGAGCCCCAAGAAUGCUGCGGGAGCAGCCGUGCUGCAGCCCUGCUGAGCGUUGAGAGCAGCACCCCGAACUCUGCCAGCCAGGGUACAUCACGUCCCUCAAGGCACUCCCGUGCAGCUGGCUCCAGCCACCGGCGCAGACGGGGACAGCAGGAUCGCACAAGAAGCCGCUCUCCGCUGCAGCGCCAGGCCGCAGGUUCCCCGAGCCAGCCCCAAAGGCACCGUGGGAGCAGGCAGGCACCAGCCCUUAGUGAUGAGAGCGGCACCCACAGACACACAGGACAAGGAACACCGAGGUCCUCAAGAGUUUCCGCAGCGGCUGCUGGAAGCCGGUCCAGGCAGCCAGGGCGGGCCCGGACUCGAAGCCGCUCGCCUCGUCAACAUCGGGAUGCAGACACCCGCAGCCAGCCCCACAGACGCCGCAGGAGCCGGUCCAGGCGGCGACGGCCAGCCCAGGGGCGAAGGCCGCUCCCGGGUACCACGUCGGGCCCGGAAUACCCACCGCCGGCCCCACUGAUGCUGUAGGAGCAGCCGUGUGCAAGCUCCACUUGCUAUCCAAAGUCAUCAGAGUCCAUCGCAAUAAAACACAGUUCCAUCAUGCCACUGUCGCUUUCAUUCUUCUCUGCCUUUCCCGAGGUGGGCAGCUUUAGGGGCUGGAACCACGGGGAUCCCUUCCCCCCAGCACCCAACCCAUUCCUUCCUCCCCGCAGCCCGGUUCACGCUGAGCUGGGUUCUGGCCCCGACUCCCGUGGGGCGCAACAUUUCCAACGCGCAGCGUGGCAAGAGGCUAGGCUGGCAGCUGCAGCCCCAUUCUGGGGGUGUUUCUGACAUCUUGGGGACGUCGCUGUGUUUGGGACGUGCAGGCAGCCCCACGGCUGCUGCCGGCUGUGGGGUGGGCCAGGACCCGGGCUUUCCUCCUGCAUUCGGGCAGUGCCUCAGGUCUGCUGCCACUGCUCCUCAACGUGACGUCCACUGUAUAUUUACUUGGUCCAGCUGUCUCGAGAAAUAGCCCGCUGGUCUCUUCCUGGAUCCAGUGUGUUCUACCAGCUGUCCCGGUGCAAAGUGACCUCCUCCGUGCCUGUUGUAUGCGUAGCGAGGGAAACGAGGUGUGUUGUAGGCGUAGCGAGGGAAACGAGGUUGACGCGUGCAGGUUCCUAUGCCACCUGUGUGUUAUGCCACCUGUGUGUGCCAAGUGUAACUCGUGAUUGGAGGAAACACUUGUAUUUAAACACGUAGCCUAUAGCAAUAAACGCCAUUUGCCUCACUUACUCCUGGGGUCUGGGUGAGCAUCUGGCCCCGACCUGGUAAAGGGUCGGUUUCGCCAGCAGUAAGCCUACACGUGGACAGAGGACGAACACCGGACGAGCGAACGGAGACUACAUGCAACAGUGCCCAUCCCAUUCAAAAGGCUUUUCCAGACUGGGCCGUCCUCGAGCAGAGGUAGACAUCAGAGCUGCUCUCAGUUGAAUAAAGGCUGUUUGGCAUUCUGGGUUCCAGUGCCAAAUUUCUCCUUCUCCUUUCACAGCUUCAUCUUCCACCGUCCUCCAUCAGUCCGCAGUUUGGUACCCAUCAUCGACAGCAUCCUGCCAUCCCUAAGGAAGCUCGCCUUUCCCAUUUUGACUUUGGCUCCGGUAUUUGACAUACGGCCUCCUUGCGCUCACCCCGCAGGCUUUGGUAUCCCCAGGGGGGUAAAACCAACACGAAUCACAGACUGACAAGCUGUUGGUGCUUUCUUCUUGGAUACUCCGCCUCCCGCCGAGCUCGGAAAACUGGGGAGACUUGUUGUCACUCGUGUUCUUUCCUCCCUUGCCUCAGCACCUAGAAGGAGUUCAUCUGCACCUGGGGCAGCGCAGCUUCCAGCUGGUUGUGCCGCCAUCCCUCCGGUUCCUUAGCAAGCUGAUUCCAGGAUAGCUGGGAUGGCUGGCUGGGUGGGCCGAGCGCAACUGGCUGAGGCCCCAGAAGCCCAAGUGCUGGCUGCUGCUCUUUGCUCACAGCAACCCCAGGCAACACCGCAGUGCUGCAGCACCGUGCCCAGGUGCCCAAGAAGGCCCAGGGCAUCCCGGCUUGUAGCAAAACGCUGCAGCCAGCAGGAGCAGGGAGCUGAUCGUGCCCCCGUAGCCGGCACUGGUGAGGCCGCACCUCACGUGCUGCGUUCUGUACUGGGCCCCCCCCUCACUACAAGACAGACGUGGAGGCCCUGCAGUGUGUCCGUGGAAGGGCAACGGGGCAGGAAAGAGUGUGGAACAAAAGUCCCAUGAGGAGCAGCUGAGGGAAGUGGGAUUGUUCAGUGCAGACGAGGCUCGGGGGAGGCCCGAGCACUGCGCAUCACUCCCUGUAAGGAGGUUGUAGGGAGGUGGGGGACGGCCUCUUCUCCCAGCUCACAGCGAUGGGACGAGAGGGAACGGCCUCAAGUUGCCCCAGGGGAGGUCCCCGUUGGAUAUUAGGAAGAACACCUCUGCUGAAAGAGCGCUCGGGCACUGGCACAGCUGCGACACCAAGCUGGGAGGGAAUGUUGAUCUGCCAGAGGGGAGAAGGGCACUACGGAGGGACCUGGAUAGACUGGAUCGAUGGGCCAAGGGCAACGGUAUGAGUUCCAAUAGGGCCAAGUGUCGGGUCCUGCAUUUUGGUCACAACAACCCCAGCAGCCUUACAGGCUUGGGGAGGAGUGGCUGGAAAGCUGCCUGAUGGAAAGGGACCUUGGCGUACUGUUGGACAGUCGGCUGAAUAUGAGCCAGCAGUGUGCCCAGGUGGCCAAGAAGGCCAAUGGCGUCCUGGCUUGUGUCAGGAAUGGUGUGGUGAGCAGGACGAGGGAAGUCAUCCUGCCCCGUACUCGGCAUUGGUGAGGCCUCACCUCGAGUACUGUGCUCAGUUUUGGGCACCUCAGUACAAGAAGGACAUGGAGGUACCGGAGCAGGUCCAGAGAAGGGCAACGAGGCUGGUGAAGGGCUUGGAAAAUCAGCCCUGUGAGGAGAGGCUGGGGGGGCUGGGGCUGCUUAGUGUGGGGAAGAGGAGGCUGAGGGGAGACCUUAUUACUCUCUUCCAGUACCUGAAAGGUGCUUACGGUGAGAGCGGGGUAGGUCUCUUCUCACUGGUGACAGCUGACAGGACGAGGGGAAAUGGCCUCCAGUUGCGCCAAGGCAAGUUUAGGUUGGACGUUAGGAAACACUUCUUUACAGAAAGGGUUGUUAAACACUGGAAUGGGCUCCCCAGGGAGGAGGUUGAGUCACCGUCCCUGCAUGUGUUUAAGAGCCGUUUGGAUGUGGUGCUCAGAGAGAUGAUGUAGCGGAGGGCUGUUAGAGUUGGGGUACUGUGGUUGGAUGCGGUUGGACUUGAUGAUCUUUGAGGUCCUUUCCAACCUGAGUAAUUCUAUGAUUCUAUGGUUCUGGGGGAGUCAGCGUCCAUGGAGGUGUUCCAGAAGCGUGGGGAUGUGGCACUGAGGGACGCGGGCAGCGGGCAGCUGCGGGGGUGGACGGUGGCACUUGGUGAUCUUAGAGGUCUUUGCCAACCAGAGAGAUUCUGUCAUUCUGUGAAUGGAGCCAUUUAUUGCAACGAGAGGUAAUCAGCAGCAAACAACACAAAGUAAAGCCUCGAGAACAUCACGGGAACACGGAAACACUUGACUGGGAUACUGAUGGAGCCACGGGCCCGGCAGCAUUCAGGUGGGGCCAGGAGGCUGGAUGUGUGGCCCAGUGCCUUCAGCAGCACCAACACGCCGGGUUCCUGCGGGGCUGCGUCCGGCACCGGGCCCCUCACUCUGCGCUGGCUGCAGGAGCCGCCGCCCUCCUGCUGGGGUGCCCUCACCCCUGUGACGUGUGAUGGCGUCACCGAGGGUGUCAGAGAGGGGCCAUUGUGACGCAUGGGGUGUGGAGCAGAGCUCAGGCUGCGGGGCUCAGGCGGAGCUCAGUGCGACUUGGUGAGGUGAGCAGGGAGGAAGGGGCUGCCUGUUCCCCAGCGCUCGGGGGCCUGAGCUGCGAACUCAGCCUCGUCCCGCUUCUCCCAUAGGUUGGCACGUGGAGGAGAAAGCCCAGCACUGAUGGGACAGACACUCCGCAAGUGGUUGCCGUCAACGCGCACGGUGUGCGUGGAGACACAGGAGGCCGCCGGCUCGAGGGAGCCUGGUGAGAGCAAAGUAUCCCUGCACGCAGCUCCCCGCCGCCGGGCAGAG